rnacentral:snoRNA from 1 species
UGGACCAAUGAUGACUUCCAUACAUGCAUUCCUUGGAAAGCUGAACAAAAUGAGUGGGAACUCUGUACUAUCAUCUUAGUUGAACUGAGGUCCACCGGGGGCUAUAGAGGGACAACUGUCAUUUUUUUUGAUGCCCGUUGCAUGAAGCAUUCUUCCAGGCUUAGGAAGGGAUUCCGUUUGGGUGAAGGAGAGUCACAGGGGAGUUGAGGCUAUGUGCACAGGACUUCUGUCUACAAGGCUGGGGUAGCACACAUGCAGUCCGUGGGACUAGGUGAAUGUGCAGGUUGCUCAGGGAGAGUUAACCUGUAGCCUGCCUCUGGGUGGCCAAGAUUGUCCUUGACUCCUGGCUCUGGGUUCCCACAACCCCUGGAGGAAGACAAGUAAUUGUGCUUGGGAAGAGAGAACAAGGCCAUACUUUUGCCUUUCUUUUUUUCAUUCUUAGUUUGAGAACAGUGGAGUUCCAAUCACCUGGCAUAGCUUUCAUGUUGUGUUCCAUGCAUUGUGAGUACAUGCAUAUGGCAGGAACACACAGGUUCCCACUGCAAGCUGAGCCUGAUAGGCAAGGAGUCUCUAGCUUAACCCCAGCCCAGUGUACGUCAAUGGCUUCCUCAUUAAAAUUGCAUGGCCCUGUAGCUUUUGUGAGUGACAUUAUAGGUAUCGAUGUAAGGGUGUUGAGAGGGAUGCUCAAUGUCAGUGCUCUUUAGUGUGCUGAUGCACUACUACAAGGGCACCUGAGCCCUUGUCCAUGCAUUUCUGUGUCCAAAAUCAGGUAAAGCCAGAGUUGGGUAUCAACCAGAUACACUGCAGGGGAUCAGAGGACAUGGCCUUUGUGUACUGCACAUCUGUCAGAUUUUCUCAAGCACACCCGUGUUUCCUCUUCACCUCCCACGUGGAAGUGAUGAAUUGGCCAGGACCAUGUUGGUGAGGGACAAUCAUCAUCUCAUGUUAACCUCAGAGAAGCCAGGAAGCUCCUGGACACACAUGGUGUAGGCUUCCUUGGAGGCUGUUGGAUCUCUCCUGAAUGUAAGCAAUUCCUUCCCAGUGCACCCUGAUUUUCCUCAUUUGCAGAAACAAAGAUUGUGUGUGGAUCGAUGAUGACUUCCAUAUAUACAUUCCUUGGAAAGCUGAACAAAAUGAGUGAAAACUCUAUACCGUCAUUCUCGUCGAACUGAGGUCCA